ACAGAUGCCUCAGAGCCCCGGGCCGCAGUUAAGGUGACGAGAUGCAGCAAUUCUUUAUGAACAUUUCAUUCCUGCUCGCUACACGACGUAAAUUAGAUGGUGUGUUACAUUCGGGCAAUAAGAGAGAUAUGUCACCACGACGCUGGCCCAUUGGAUGGAGAGGAGGGGUUUGGCGAAGAGCGGAAAGGAUUUCACCCUGAUGUGCACACUACUGAGUGACCCCGCUCACCAGCGGCUCUGCUGAUUGCUUUGCACCUUGCAGACUUCGAUACUGGCUCAGCCUC
rnacentral:lncRNA from 1 species